GUGCGCGCGCGGGGUAGAGAGAGAGUGCUUGUCAGGCACGCGCAGGGAAGGAGGUGUCACGCGUUGAAGUUGUUUGGAUCUGAUACAGGCAAGAUACAAGACGUCCUGCGAGGUCCCGGCAAUACAGAUAACUGCUGACAGACGGCAGCCAAUUUGCUGUCCCGCCACACCAGAGCAAAGCGCUAGAAAUAUGGGCAGAGGAGUGACCCUUUGGCUGUGUCGCCCAUCCAUCCGAACCCGGUGGUGGGCUGGCCACCGUGGUAAUUGCCUGCGAAACAGUGUUUUGACAAGCCAGACGGGUGUAAGCCAUCAUUCUAGCAGCACGGUGAUGAGGUGUCACCUGGAGAGAGCUGUUGAGAGCCCACAUGUUUACAUGCAGCCAGUGUGGUUCCACUGAGACAGCAGUAAUCCAUUAAGAAGGGGGCUGAUCCUGCGAGGGGUUUGAUGAAGUUGAAGCUCCUCUGCCCCAUGCAGAAGGGCGUUUAGCGCUGCCGGCCCCACUGCUAGUGUGCAGGGAUAUAUCACCUGCGUACUCACUGUUUCAUCAUAGCUCUCUGUUUCUCUACUCUACAAACAGUCUUCGUGCUUUAGACUGAGUGUCCAAUUUAAAGGAAAACUCACCUUUUGUCCACUCAAAAUAUAAAAGAAACAAAUAUUUUAUAUGUUUCAAAAAGCUUAACUGAUGUUUCUACCUGGGUUUCCUCUGUUUUUGAAAAGGUCUUUGUUUGUCCUAAAAAGGACUUAAAUCGGUGCAUAAAGACUUAAAGUCAUGGCAUGAAAUGUUGGAUGUACUGCAAAAAACUUUCUCUGUGGUUUCGUUUUGUUUCCCAAUACAAAUAUUGAAAAAUCUUAAAAUAAGAUACAUUUAGGCCUACUUGAGAUACAAAAUGUACAUAUGAAGUUUUUUGUUUUCUGAGAAACUGAACAAUAAUCAAUAAAUACAUUUGUUAUGUUGCUGCUUUA